rnacentral:tRNA from 1 species
GGGAUUGUAGCUCAGUGGUAGAGUGCUUGCCUAGCACAUGCAAGGCCCUGGGUUCGAUCCUCAGCACCA